CUAAACGACUCUCGGCAACGGAUAUCUCGGCUCUCGCAUCGAUGAAGAACGUAGCGAAAUGCGAUACUUGGUGUGAAUUGCAGAAUCCCGCGAACCAUCGAGUCUUUGAACGCAAGUUGCGCCCGAAGCCAUUAGGUUGAGGGCACGUCUGCCUGGGCGUCUCAC
rnacentral:rRNA from 1 species